UGUCCACCAAUCCGCGACUCCGGC
rnacentral:siRNA from 1 species